GACGAACGCUGGCGGCGUGCUUAACACAUGCAAGUCGAACGGAAAGGCCCCCUUGUGGGGUACUCGAGUGGCGAACGGGUGAGUAACACGUGAGUAACCUACCCUUGACUUUGGGAUAACUUCAGGAAACUGGGGCUAAUACCGGAUAGGAGCUCCUGCUGCAUGGUGGGGGUUGGAAAGUUUCGGCGGUUGGGGAUGGACUCGCGGCUUAUCAGCUUGUUGGUGGGGUAGUGGCUCACCAAGGCUUUGACGGGUAGCCGGCCUGAGAGGGUGACCGGCCACAUUGGGACUGAGAUACGGCCCAGACUCCUACGGGAGGCAGCAGUGGGGAAUAUUGCACAAUGGGCGGAAGCCUGAUGCAGCAACGCCGCGUGCGGGAUGACGGCCUUCGGGUUGUAAACCGCUUUCGCCUGUGACGAAGCGUGAGUGGCGGUAAUGGGUAAAGAAGCACCGGCUAACUACGUG
rnacentral:rRNA from 1 species